rnacentral:rRNA from 1 species
AUGAACGCUAGCUACAGGCUUAACACAUGCAAGUCGAGGGGCAGCAUCAUCAAAGCUUGCUUUGAUGGAUGGCGACCGGCGCACGGGUGAGUAACACGUAUCCAACCUGCCGACAACACUGGGAUAGCCUUUCGAAAGAAAGAUUAAUACCGGAUGGCAUAAUUAUUCCGCAUGGGAUAAUUAUUAAAGAAUUUCGGUUGUCGAUGGGGAUGCGUUCCAUUAGGCAGUUGGCGGGGUAACGGCCCACCAAACCUACGAUGGAUAGGGGUUCUGAGAGGAAGGUCCCCCACAUUGGAACUGAGACACGGUCCAAACUCCUACGGGAGGCAGCAGUGAGGAAUAUUGGUCAAUGGACGAGAGUCUGAACCAGCCAAGUAGCGUGAAGGAUGACUGCCCUAUGGGUUGUAAACUUCUUUUAUACGGGAAUAAAGUGAGCCACGUGUGGCUUUUUGUAUGUACCGUAUGAAUAAGGAUCGGCUAACUCCGUGCCAGCAGCCGCGGUAAUACGGAGGAUUCGAGCGUUAUCCGGAUUUAUUGGGUUUAAAGGGAGCGUAGGCGGGUUGUUAAGUCAGUUGUGAAAGUUUGUGGCUCAACCGUAAAAUUGCAGUUGAUACUGGCGACCUUGAGUGCAACAGAGGUAGGCGGAAUUCGUGGUGUAGCGGUGAAAUGCUUAGAUAUCACGAAGAACUCCGAUUGCGAAGGCAGCUUACUGGAUUGUAACUGACGCUGAUGCUCGAAAGUGUGGGUAUCAAACAGGAUUAGAUACCCUGGUAGUCCACACAGUAAACGAUGAAUACUCGCUGUUGGCGAUAUACAGUCAGCGGCCAAGCGAAAGCAUUAAGUAUUCCACCUGGGGAGUACGCCGGCAACGGUGAAACUCAAAGGAAUUGACGGGGGCCCGCACAAGCGGAGGAACAUGUGGUUUAAUUCGAUGAUACGCGAGGAACCUUACCCGGGCUUAAAUUGCAACUGACGGAACCGGAAACGGUUCUUUCUUCGGACAGUUGUGAAGGUGCUGCAUGGUUGUCGUCAGCUCGUGCCGUGAGGUGUCGGCUUAAGUGCCAUAACGAGCGCAACCCUUACGGGUAGUUACCAUCAGGUUAUGCUGGGGACUCUACCCGGACUGCCGUCGUAAGAUGUGAGGAAGGUGGGGAUGACGUCAAAUCAGCACGGCCCUUACGUCCGGGGCUACACACGUGUUACAAUGGGGGGUACAGAAGGCAGCUACACGGCGACGUGGUGCUAAUCCCAAAAGCCUCUCUCAGUUCGGAUUGGAGUCUGCAACCCGACUCCAUGAAGCUGGAUUCGCUAGUAAUCGCGCAUCAGCCACGGCGCGGUGAAUACGUUCCCGGGCCUUGUACACACCGCCCGUCAAGCCAUGAAAGCCGGGGGUACCUGAAGUACGUAACCGCGAGGAGCGUCCUAGGGUAAAACUGGUGAUUGGGGCU